GGAAGGUUGGCAGAGUGAACGAAUGCGCCGGACUCGAAAUCCAGUAUACCACUUGUGGUAUCGGGGGUUUGAAUCCCUCACCUUCCG
rnacentral:tRNA from 1 species